rnacentral:tRNA from 1 species
AAGAAAUUAGUUAAAAUAUAAUAUGAGGUUGUCAGCCUUGCGUUACUAACUUAGAAUUAGUAUUUCUUA